UAUAAUGAACACGGCCGCACCACAAGUAAAGUCUGAGGAAGGACAGAAAACGCUCUGGAGGCUGGUUCAGUCACCCGUUAUCAGUAAAAAUGGUUGACCCCUAACAAUAUGUACAAAAAUACAAAAUGUAAAUAAGAAAUUCAAACUUUCCUUUUAAAGUAUGUUUAAGAAAAAUAGCAGGGCCUGGGAAGCUCUGGUUCUCUUCUCCUCCCAUGUUGCUAAUUCAUGUCGUGGUUUGGGUGGGGCGGUGGAGAGCAUAUGUUAUCUGUGGGUGGCUCUGCCCUCUGUGGGCGGGCGUGGCCUGCUUCUCUACUCGAAGAAGAUCACAUUAAAAUUCUGAGACUGGAAGUGGAGGGUGAAUAGGUCACGGUGUGUAAAGUCCUUGGUGGUGAUCUCGGAGCUGGUAUCCACUGCGGAGUCUGACAUGGUGGGGCACGCCGAUGGUCCGGUGCUGCGAAUAAGGAAUUAGUCGAGCUCGAGGACUCUGGUGAGAAAGCUACCGGAGUCCAGGUUGGAAAAGGCAGUAGGCGGCGAAGGUGGCUGCAGUGAGCGCAGAGCAAAGAUGGCUUUUCAGUGGGGACUGGCUUUUGAGUAGCCAGCGGGGGCAUAAUGGGCAUCCUUAUGUGCUCAGAGACAAGUCUCUGAAGAGAAAGCUUAUUGCCCAGAGUGAUGGGACCAGAAGGUUGUUGCAGGAGCAUGAACCUGCAAAAGAAGCCCAGAAUAUUCUCUGGCUUCCAGUAUCAGGGGCAAGGCUUGUCUGUGGCCACACCACCCUGGGCUACCCAGUCUUGUUUGAUUUCAUUCCUAAGCAAGAUCAGACCUGGUUAGCAUUUCACUGGGAGACAGAAGCUUUCGCUUCCAUGCACACUCCUAACAUCGGCCAUGCAGCCUCCUGAGUCUGCAUUGUCAACCUCCAGAACUAGGAAACAAAUAAACCUAGAUUUGGGGGGAGUUUUUAGGGGGCAGUGUUUUGCUUUGCUUUGGUAUGGUAUGGUUUGGUUUCAUUUGGUGGGUGCGUGGGUGGUUGGUUGGUUGGUCAUCGGUAGCCAUGAACAGCUGACAAGGAGCAAAACGAUGCAGUCAUCAGUAGUGGUUACAAUGUGGAUCAGGAAACUGGGGUGCGGAGCAAGGAAGCAAAUUCCCCACAUGAGGCUUCUUCCUGCCUGCGUGUCUGACUUGUUCCUAUGCUGGUCCUUAUCUGGUUCACCCCGCCCCACCCACCCGCCAUGACUGUUUCCAGUUCCCUUGUGUUCCAUGCCCUCUCCAGCCUCAGCAUCUCCGGUAAGACCCAGAAUUUCAUGUAACCUAAUUUCACUUCCCGGCUUGGGAUGUGGCUCAUCCCUCCUUCUCAGCCCUGGAAUGCCGCCUAUCUAGUCACAACUCCCCUUCGCAGGAUUACUGAACGAAACAGAAGAACGACACUUCUUCUGUCUAGCACCAGAACCAAGGAAAUGAUCGUCAAAGUAUUUCCAUGCUGUAAUCCCCAGGACAAAGUCUAACUUCAGUUCAAUUAAAACUGACUACUAUAUCUAGGGCCAUGGGUAAGGUAUGUCUGCGAAAGAUAAAAUUAUCACCUUCAAAGUUCUAGCAGGAAAGAAGAUGAGUUUUAAAAUAGCCUAUAGUUCAGGACAGAAGAAAAAAAAUAAGUGCCGUAUGAAACCCACAAAAGGCAAAAUUAGUUUCAGAUGAUGAAGAGAUCCUACCAAGAUGAUAAUUAGCAAGCGCCUUGCAGGAGAAUGGCUGCUUGAAAUUGACUUGGAAAGAAUUGAUAGAAUUUCAAUAAUUGGAAAAGGAGAAUAAGAGAAAGGCGCUCCAAGUGGAGGGACUAGCCUCUAGAAAAGGGGCAGAGAAUGGAAACCUGGAGUACGUUUAAGGACAAAAUGACAGUUGACUGUUUGACAGGAAUGUCGAGGAAGUUUUAGAAACGCAACUCUGGAGCUGGGCAUGACAGCACACGCUUGGAUGCAAGGUAGGAGGGUCGUGAGUUCAAAGACAUCCUGAACUACAUAGUGAGUUCGAAGCCUGUAUUGUACAGUAAGACCCUGUCUCAAAAAGGUAGAGGGGGCAAUGAGGGAGGAAGGGAAAAGACAGAAAAUGGCAGGAGGGAAGAGGGGAAGGGAGGAAAGGUCCCAAAUAGAGCAAUGUGCCCAUAACUUUCGGCUAGGAAGGGUUUGGGAUUCUAAGGAUGUAGAUAUUAUUUCAUCUAAUGGCUUCCCAAAAGAAAAUUUACUUACAAAAUAUACCUCAAUCUUUUCUGGUCCACAGCUAUGGAUGGACCUCCUGUGGUUGCCCUAAUUCUAGCAUUCUCAGGCCAACGGAGGCUGAGGCCACGGCCCAUGGUCACUGUGUCAGGCGAGGCUCUGACUAAGAAAGCAAGGAAAACAAGCGGAUGUGCUUGGGCUUCAGUUUCUUUUAACUACACCAUUCCCUGUUCUUAGCCCAGGAUGCCGUCAUCCAGGACUCUGAAAACUCUUCUUUGUCACGAGCUUAGGCAGAAAGUCUCUCCAGCCGUGGGUCAGAAUAAGGAAGACCAGGUUCAAGGAGGCCAAGGCAUGAACCUAGAGUCGCCCAGCUGUCUCACUAGCAGGUGUCUUCCAGACUUGCUGAUUGUUCACAAUGGAGCUAAUGGAUGUGCUGCCCAGACAAGUUCCAGGUUCCCCUUAAACAGGUUUUUCACAAGCUUCAAACCAAUUGAGGAGUGUGAAGAAACCAGCGAGAGACACUCCACCCAGCAGCCACUCGAACCAACAGUGGUUUCUGCAGACAGCAGUCUAAUCUCUUGGUCUGGCAAGGCUGGGCAAGAGAUCAUUUUCCAGGCUCACCUGCAAUGCUGAAAUUGGAACAUCUUUUCCCACGCAUGUCCUCAGUACUAGAAAUAGUCCCAGUUCCUGACAUAAAGCAAUCGAAGCCCUAGGGAUUCCCGCAUGAUGGUCAUGUGUGCUUUCGUUCUGCCUGGGCCCUGUGUGUUCACACCCCAGUUUAGGGUGCGAUAUGAACUCAAGCUUCGGGAAAUGCUGGGAUAGCUAGGCGGGGGAUGGGAGGCUUCAGGGGGGGAGUUUGUGGCCAGAGGGAUGGGAUUUUCCAUCCCCACUUCAGGCUCAGGGGAUGGAAUGAAGGCCAGAGACUGGGUUCAGAUCAAUCUUCUCUAUGAAGUACUACCUCCCUAAGAUCCCAAAUGAUAACAUCAGAGAGCUUCAAUCACACAGUUGACAAUCACAUGACGGUCUCAGCCAAGAGAGUCUCAGUCUCAACUCACUGGGAACAGCAGCUAUGGAGCAAGGGCCCUUCUAGGUCACACAUAUACAUUUUCUUCUGACUGUUCAUUUUUAUUCUUUACAAUAACCAAAAAUAUCAAUAAAUAAAACAUUUUCCAAAGUCUUA
rnacentral:sRNA from 1 species